CCUACGGGGGGCAGCAGUGAGGAAUAUUGGUCAAUGGACGAGAGUCUGAACCAGCCAAGUAGCGUGAAGGAUGACUGCCCUAUGGGUUGUAAACUUCUUUUAUAUGGGAAUAAAAUGUUCCACGUGUGGGAUUUUGUAUGUACCCUAUGAAUAAGGAUCGGCUAACUCCGUGCCAGCAGCCGCGGUAAUACGGAGGAUCCGAGCGUUAUCCGGAUUUAUUGGGUUUAAAGGGAGCGUAGGUGGAUUGUUAAGUCAGUUGUGAAAGUUUGCGGCUCAACCGUAAAAUUGCAGUUGAAACUGGCAGUCUUGAGUACAGUAGAGGUGGGCGGAAUUCGUGGUGUAGCGGUGAAAUGCUUAGAUAUCACGAAGAACUCCGAUUGCGAAGGCAGUUCACUGGACGGCAACUGACACUGAGGCUCGAAAGUGUGGGUAUCAAACAGGAUUAGAUACCCGAGUAGUC
rnacentral:rRNA from 1 species